AGAGUUUGAUCAUGGCUCAGAUUGAACGCUGGCGGCAGGCCUAACACAUGCAAGUCGAGCGCGAAAACACUUCGGUGUGAGUAGAGCGGCGGACGGGUGAGUAAUGCUUGGGAAUCUGCCCAGUAGUGGGGGAUAACGUGUGGAAACGCACGCUAAUACCGCAUACGUCCUACGGGAGAAAGCAGGGGAUCUUCGGACCUUGCGCUAUUGGAUGAGCCCAAGUCAGAUUAGCUAGUUGGUGAGGUAAUGGCUCACCAAGGCGACGAUCUGUAGCUGGUCUGAGAGGAUGAUCAGCCACACUGGGACUGAGACACGGCCCAGACUCCUACGGGAGGCAGCAGUGGGGAAUAUUGCACAAUGGGCGAAAGCCUGAUGCAGCCAUGCCGCGUGUGUGAAGAAGGCUCUAGGGUUGUAAAGCACUUUCAGUGGGGAGGAAAAGUUUAAGA
rnacentral:rRNA from 1 species